AAAUUGAAGAGUUUGAUCAUGGCUCAGAUUGAACGCUGGCGGCAGGCCUAACACAUGCAAGUCGAACGGUAACAGGAAACAGCUUGCUGUUUCGCUGACGAGUGGCGGACGGGUGAGUAAUGUCUGGGAAACUGCCUGAUGGAGGGGGAUAACUACUGGAAACGGUAGCUAAUACCGCAUAACGUCGCAAGACCAAAGAGGGGGACCCUCGGGCCUCUUGCCAUCGAAUGUGCCCAGAUGGGAUUAGCUUGUUGGUGGGGUAACGGCUCACCAAGGCGACGAUCCCUAGCUGGUCUGAGAGGAUGACCAGCCACACUGGAACUGAGACACGGUCCAGACUCCUACGGGAGGCAGCAGUGGGGAAUAUUGCACAAUGGGCGCAAGCCUGAUGCAGCCAUGCCGCGUGUAUGAAGAAGGCCUUCGGGUUGUAAAGUACUUUCAGCGGGGAGGAAGGGAGUAAAGUUAAUACCUUU
rnacentral:rRNA from 1 species